AUUGAACGCUGGCGGCAGGCCUUACACAUGCAAGUCGGACGAGUGGCGGACGGGUGAGUAAAGCCUGGGAAACUACCGGGUAGAGGGGGAUAACUACUGGAAACGAUAGCUAAUACCGCAUAUCAUCCGAUGGGCCCAGAUGUGAUUCGCUGGUUGGCGGGGUAAAGGCCCACCAAGGCGACGAUCCGUAGCGGGUCUGAGAGGAUGACCCGCCACACUGGGACUGAGACACGGCCCAGACUCCUACGGGAGGCAGCAGUGGGGAAUUUUGGACAAUGGGCGCAAGCCUGAUCCAGCCAUGCCGCGUGUCUGAAGAAGGCCUUCGGGUUGUAAAGGACUUUUGUCGGGGAAGCGUUACCUGAAGAAUAAGCACCGGCUAACUACGUGCCAGCAGCCGCGGUAAUAC
rnacentral:rRNA from 1 species